rnacentral:misc_RNA from 1 species
GAUGAAGAACGUAGCGAAAUGCGAUACGUAAUGUGAAUUGCAGAAUUCAGUGAAUCAUCGAAUCUUUGAACGCACAUUGCACUCUCUGGUAUUCCGGAGAGUAUGCUUGUUUGAGUAUCUGUAAACAUCUCAAAUCUCUCUUCAAUUGCUUCAAUUGGGUCGAGAGAAUUGGAUUUGAGCGAUCCCGACUCCUUCGUCAGAAAGAGGAGGGUCGCUUGAAAUGCAGGUGCAGCUGGACAUUCUUCUGAGCAAAAAGCAUAUCUAUUUAGUCCCGUCAAACGGAUUAUUACUUUUGCUUCAGCUAAUAUAAAGGUUGAAUGAACUACCAACGCUGAUUGCAGGAAAACAUGUUCGUUUAUUCGGACUUGUAAACUCGAUCUCAAAUCAAGUAAGACUACCCGCUGAACUUAAGCAUAUCAAAAGCGGAGGA